rnacentral:rRNA from 1 species
AACCUGGUUGAUCCUGCCAGUAGUCAUAUGCUUGUCUCAAAGACUAAGCCAUGCAUGUCUAAGUAUAAGAGUUAUACUCGAAACUGCGAAUGGCUCAUUAAAACAGUUAUAGUUUAUUUGAUAAUCAAAUUUACAUGGAUAACCGUGGUAAUUCUAGAGCUAAUACAUGCAAUUAGGCACGACUUAUGGAAGCGCUGUAUUUAUUAGAUAACAAACCGAUAUUCCUUUGGUCUAUUGAGGUGAAUCAUAGUAACUGAUCGAAUCGUGGCGUGCCGCGAUAAAUCAUUCAAGUUUCUGACCCAUCAGCUGUCGAUGGUAGUGUAUUGGACUACCAUGGCUUUUACGGGUGACGGAGGAUUAGGGUUCGAUUCCGGAGAGGGAGCCUGAGAAACGGCUACCACAUCUAAGGAAGGCAGCAGGCGCGUAAAUUACCCAAUCCCGACUCGGGGAGGUAGUGACAAGAAAUAACGGACCGGGUCUUCGAUCCGGGAUUGCAAUGAGUUAAAUCCAAAUCCCUUUGCGAAAUCGAUUGGAGGGCAAGUCUGGUGCCAGCAGCCGCGGUAAUUCCAGCUCCAAUAGCGUAUAUUAAAGUUGUUGCAGUUAAAAAGCUCGUAGUUGGAUUUCUGGGGGGCGCAGAUUGUCCGCAGACGCGUGUGCAGAUGCGCCCUUUCAUCCUUCUGUUAACGUCUCUUGACAUUCAUUUGUUGGUGGCGGGCUCAGAUAUUUUACCUUGAGAAAAUUAGAGUGUUUCAGGCAGGCUCGCGUCGGAAUACAUUAGCAUGGAAUAAUAGAAUAGGACUCAGUCCUCCUUUGUUGGUUUGAGGGGUCAGAGUAAUGGUUAAUAGGGAUAGUUGGGGGCAUUAGUAUUUGACUGUCAGAGGUGAAAUUCUCGGAUUUGUUAAAGACUAACUUAUGCGAAAGCAUUUGCCAAGGAUGUUUUCAUUAAUCAAGAACGAAAGUUAGGGGAUCAAAGACGAUCAGAUACCGUCCUAGUCUUAACCAUAAACUAUGCCGACUCGGGAUCGGGGGCCUGAUAAAUCUGCCCUCGGCACCGUAUGAGAAAUCAAAGUCUUUGGGUUCUGGGGGGAGUAUGGUCGCAAGGCUGAAACUUAAAGGAAUUGACGGAAGGGCACCACCAGGCGUGGAGCUUGCGGCUCAAUUUGACUCAACACGGGAAAACUCACCAGGUUCAGACACAGUAAGGAUUGACAAAUUGAUAGCUCUUUCUUGAUUCUGUGGGUGGUGGUGCAUGGCCGUUCUUAGUUGGUGGAGUGAUUUGUCUGGUUGAUUCCGUUAACGAACGAGACCUUAGCCUGCUAAAUAGUCUGGGUGCAUCUUGAUGCCCUUCGGCUUCUUAGAGGGACUUUGUGAGCAAACACAAGGAAGUUUGAGGCAAUAACAGGUCUGUGAUGCCCUUAGAUAUCCUGGGCCGCACGCGUGCUACACUGACGCUGACAGCGAGUAUUUCCAGCUCCGAGAGGCAGCUGGUAAUCAGCAAUCGGCGUCGUGAUGGGGAUAGACCCUUGGAAUUGUGGGUCUUGAACGAGGAAUGCCUAGUAAGCGCAGGUCAUCAGCCUGCGUUGAUUAAGUCCCUGCCCUUUGUACACACCGCCCGUCGCUCCUACCGAUUUCGAGUGGUCCGGUGAACCUUUGGGACCGCGUAUGGCUUGUCCAGGCGUGGAAACUCAAGUAAACCACAUCACUUAGAGGAAGGAGAAGUCGUAACAAGGUUUCCGUAGGUGAACCUGCAGAAGGAUCA